rnacentral:rRNA from 1 species
AAGGGUGGCGUAGGCGGCCUGUUAAGUCAGGGGUGAAAGACGGUAGCUCAACUAUCGCAGUGCCCUUGAUACUGAUGGGCUUGAAUUGACUAGAGGUAGGCGGAAUGUGACAAGUAGCGGUGAAAUGCAUAGAUAUGUCACAGAACACCGAUUGCGAAGGCAGCUUACUAUGGUCUUAUUGACGCUGAGGCACGAAAGCGUGGGGAUCAAACAGGAUUAGAUACCCUUGU